GCUGGGCUGUGCCGGGGACAGAAGCGUUUCCACAGGGCCCCUGAGCACUGUACUCAGCCUUGAGAAAGCACAGCUGGAGGUCGGGGAUGAGCCUGGGCAGGUCAAGGUCCUCUCCUAGGAAGGGUGUUGAUGCCCUGAUGGCCUUACUCGGUAGGGGACACUUACUCGGUAGGGAGCACUGGGCCUCCUGGAUCACCACCUGCUGGGCUGACACUAAAGGCCAGAGGCAGUGUGAGCACCCACUGCGCUAGGUGGAGGCGUGGGUUGACCGUUAGGAUAGCGGUGUGCUGGGGAGGCACAGUCCCCACCUCACGUGGCUGUUGCUGUGAUGCUGAUCUUAAGAUCUUUGGCCAGCUGCUUAUUCCUAGUGAGGAGUCUGUCUGCCUUUCCAGGACCAGUAGAAGCACUUGCAAGUGAUUUUUCUUAUUUCUUUGUAUGUUUGCUCUGACGUCAGCAGGAACGUGUAGACAAUUACAGGAGGGGAAAAAAAAUUCCAUUAUUGGCAGGAAUACUGGUUUACCCUACUUAAACGUGGGGGCUCCCCUCCAUCUUAUUGCCCCAGCACAUAGUAGCCACCUCUAAAUAUUUACUUGUCUUGAAGACAGGUGUGCUGGUUCUUUUCUUUUUAAGGGAUCCAGGCUGGGAGAAACAAACUAAGGUAAGAUCAAGAACUGUUGCAAAGGUAUUACAGUUACCAUUUCUAAACAGUGCUAUAACCCCCAACUUGUGCUUUCUCUAUCCUGAAGGUUGUUCAUCAUUUAAUCUUCUCAGCCCUUAGGUAAAGCCUGUAGGAGCAGGGCUUAUUCAGGAGCCAGCGGUUUGUUUAGAAACCAGUCUCUCCCUGUGAGCAGAGCUGGACCGAGUCACAGUUGUCUCUGCUCCCCCAUUGCCUCGCAGAGAAUGCUGACAUGAACUAGGUGCUCAAACGAGUGCAGUCGUUUUCCUGUGGUGAACGGCGACCUUCAGGGCACGUGGGAGUAAUCUAGUUAGGAUUCUCCUCCUGGAUUUGCAAGUUCACCUGCAGGUGAGCUGUGCCAGCUGUCACUGACCACACCUGCCAGGACUGUCCAGCCAGCCAGGUGACCUUGGGCACACCAUGUUGCUCCCAAGUCUCAUUGCAGUCUGUGCCGAUCUCAGAAGACAUAAUUAAGUGUUUGCUUUUAGAUGGUUUCUGGUUUGAAGUAUAUAAGGAC
ensembl:lncRNA